rnacentral:lncRNA from 1 species
GCCAGAGACUGAGGUGUUGGUUUCCAUUGUAUUUACCCUUCUAGGAGGAGACUUUGUAGUAAAGAUGUUUUUCUAAGGAAAUUUUUCACCUUGGGGAUGGAUCAACGUUUUGGCAAACCUGAACCGCAGAUAAACUUCCACGCUGGCUUUGCCUGACGACACUGGGGAGAUGGCCCUGCUGAGAAAAUGCAGCAACCAGCAGAACUGGAAUCACUGCACAUUCAUAAUCACAGCCCUCAGCACAGCCCUGCAAACCUGCUCAGCUUCUCCAGAAAGCUUGCUCUCAUUCUCUGCAACUUCAUGCCUUUUCCCUUCUCUAAGGAGGAGACGCACACUCCCACACACCCUCCACCCACUCUCAGUGAUGAAUCAUGUAUAACGCUGUGGCGAGAAAGCUGAAAACAUCAGUGAAGAAGCACUGUUGACCCCCACCACCAAAUGCACACACUGCCUGUGUUUACACCUGAAGACAAACCGGUAUAAACUUCCUCCCUGAUGAAAAGGGAGCAACAGCUCAUCUUGUGUCAAAAAUUGAUCACAGGUAUCCUGAAGGCCAUAGCUACCUCCUUACCUGCCUCUUUGUUCCCUUCCUUCCUUCCUUCUUCUCCUCCUCCCUCUUCCAAAUAACUUUUCUUCUCAGUAGGACAGUCCAGUAGAAGCUUCCUCACUACACAAGUCUCUACUCCAGCACACAGUUGACUCUGGGUAUCCAUGAAUACAGAGGGCUGGCUGCACUACAUCAUUUUAUUUGAGAGAUCUGGGCAUCCAUGGAUGGUCUCCAUGGGUUCCAGGAACUGGUUCUCUUGGAUACUGAAGGACAGCUGUGUAGACAUCCUGCAUUGCUCUCCAAACCCUCCCCUGCCCUGGCCUGCACCCCCUGCACCCUGCUGUGGCAUUUCCAUCAGAAGACAGUUGUCAAAGGGCUCUUCACACUUCCAUCACCCUGUUAGGCUGACUGUAUUUAUUAGGAGUAGAGAAAGCUCCCUAGUGGGUUGAGAGGACUAAAGAAAUGGCCAGAGGACUGCUUGUGUUGGAAUCUUUGUAUAGAGGCUCAGGAAUCUCCAUAUUCAGUGAGUACUCCAGGUCACUCCCAGCUCCCAGGGUAAAAACAGAAAUUCCUUUCUCUAAUGGGUUGCAAGCAGCUUUAAAGUCGUCAAACGUUGGUGGUCACGAGGGGCUGGGGACAGGGUAGGGGUUGGGCGGAAUAGGGGAUAACUGCUUAAAGUGUAUGGAAGUUUUCUUUUGAGAAAUGAUGAGACUAUUUUGGAACCAGA